ACGGCAGCACAGUAAGAGCUUGCUCUUAUGGGUGGCGAGUGGCGGACGGGUGAGGAAUACAUCGGAAUCUACUUUUUCGUGGGGGAUAACGUAGGGAAACUUACGCUAAUACCGCAUACGACCUACGGGUGAAAGCAGGGGAUCUUCGGACCUUGCGCGAUUGAAUGAGCCGAUGUCGGAUUAGCUAGUUGGCGGGGUAAAGGCCCACCAAGGCGACGAUCCGUAGCUGGUCUGAGAGGAUGAUCAGCCACACUGGAACUGAGACACGGUCCAGACUCCUACGGGAGGCAGCAGUGGGGAAUAUUGGACAAUGGGCGCAAGCCUGAUCCAGCCAUACCGCGUGGGUGAAGAAGGCCUUCGGGUUGUAAAGCCCUUUUGUUGGGAAAGAAAUCCAGCCGGCUAAUACCUGGUUGGGAUGACGGUACCCAAAGAAUAAGCACCGGCUAACUUCGUGCCAGCAGCCGCGGUAAUACGAAGGGUGCAAGCGUUACUCGGAAUUACUGGGCGUAAAGCGUGCGUAGGUGGUUGUUUAAGUCUGUUGUGAAAGCCCUGGGCUCAACCUGGGAACUGCAGUGGAAACUGGACAACUAGAGUGUGGUAGAGGGUAGCGGAAUUCCCGGUGUAGCAGUGAA
rnacentral:rRNA from 1 species